rnacentral:rRNA from 1 species
UACGAAGGGGGCUAGCGUUGCUCGGAAUCACUGGGCGUAAAGGGUGCGUAGGCGGGUCUUUAAGUCAGGGGUGAAAUCCUGGAGCUCAACUCCAGAACUGCCUUUGAUACUGAAGAUCUUGAGUCCGGGAGAGGUGAGUGGAACUGCGAGUGUAGAGGUGAAAUUCGUAGAUAUUCGCAAGGACACCAGUGGCGAAGGCGGCUCACUGGCCCGGUACUGACGCUGAGGCACGAAAGCGUGGGGAGCAAACAGG